rnacentral:lncRNA from 1 species
AAACAAUCGGAUGGUUCUAGUCGGUGAGCCUGUGAAAACCGACCGAGUUCGUUGUGAUCUCGCGAAAACAACAAGUUGGGUUGUGAACUUGUAAAACAACCGGCUGAAAUCCGGAAGAUUAUAGUGAACUCCCAAGUGAAGCUUGGGGAGUGGACGUAGGAGCAAGGGUUAGCUCCGAACCACUAUAAAUUGGUUCGUGUUUGUAUUGGUUGCUGUUUUCUCUCUCUCUCUUCAUUCAC